rnacentral:rRNA from 1 species
AGAGUUUGAUCAUGGCUCAGAGCGAACGCUGGCGGCAGGCUUAACACAUGCAAGUCGAGCGCCCCGCAAGGGGAGCGGCAGACGGGAGAGUAACACGUGGGAACGUACCCUUCGGUUCGGAACAACCCAGGGAAACUUGGGCUAAUACCGGAUACGUCCGUAAGGAGAAAGAUUCAUCGCCGGAGGAUCGGCCCGCGUCUGAUUAGCUUGUUGGUGAGGUAACGGCUCACCAAGGCGACGAUCAGUAGCUGGUCUGAGAGGAUGAUCAGCCUCACUGGGACUGAGACACGGCCCAGACUCCUACGGGAGGCAGCAGUGGGGAAUAUUGGACAAUGGGCGCAAGCCUGAUCCAGCCAUGCCGCGUGGGUGAUGAAGGCCCUAGGGUUGUAAAGCCCUUUCGGCGGGGAAGAUAAUGACGGUACCCGCAGAAGAAGCCCCGGCUAACUUCGUGCCAGCAGCCGCGGUAAUACGAAGGGGGCUAGCGUUGCUCGGAAUCACUGGGCGUAAAGCGCACGUAGGCGGCUUCUUAAGUCAGGGGUGAAAUCCUGGAGCUCAACUCCAGAACUGCCUUUGAUACUGAGGAGCUUGAGUCCGGGAGAGGUGAGUGGAACUGCGAGUGUAGAGGUGAAAUUCGUAGAUAUUCGCAAGAACACCAGUGGCGAAGGCGGCUCACUGGCCCGGUACUGACGCUGAGGUGCGAAAGCGUGGGGAGCAAACAGGAUUAGAUACCCUAGUAGUCC